rnacentral:rRNA from 1 species
GAUGAACGCUGGCGGUGUGCCUAAUACAUGCAAGUCGAGCGAACAGACGAGGAGCUUACUCCUCUGACGUUAGCGGCGGACGGGUGAGUAACACGUGGAUAACCUACCUAUAAGACUGGGAUAACUUCGGGAAACCGGAGCUAAUACCGGAUAACAUGUUGAACCGCAUGGUUCAACAGUGAAAGACGGUCUUGCUGUCACUUAUAGAUGGAUCCGCGUCGCAUUAGCUAGUUGGUAAGGUAACGGCUUACCAAGGCAACGAUGCGUAGCCGACCUGAUAGGGUGAUCGGCCACACGGGAACUGAGACACGGUCAAGACUCCUACGGGAGGCAGCAGUAGGGAAUCUUCCGCAAUGGGCGAAAGCCUGACGGAGCAACGCCGCGUGAGUGAAGAAGGUCUUCGGAUCGUAAAACUCUGUUAUUAGGGAAGAACAAAUGUGUAAGUAACUAUGCACGUCUUGACGGUACCUAAUCAGAAAGCCACGGCUAACUACGUG